rnacentral:rRNA from 1 species
GGGGAAUAUUGCACAAUGGAGGAAACUCUGAUGCAGCGACGCCGCGUGAGUGAAGAAGGUCUUCGGAUCGUAAACCUCUGUCCUUGGUGACGAAAAAAAAUGACGGUAGCCAAGGAGGAAGCCCCGGCUAACUACGUGCCAGCAGCCGCGGUAAUACGUAGGGGGCGAGCGUUGUCCGGAUUUACUGGGCGUAAAGGGUGAGUAGGCGGUAAUAUGUGUCAGAUGUAAAAGGCUAUGGCUUAACCAUAGUUGGCAUUUGAAACUGUAUUACUUGAGUAUUGGAGAGGCAAGUGGAAUUCCUAGUGUAGCAGUGAAAUGCGUAGAUAUUAGGAGGAACACCGGUGGCGAAGGCGGCUUGCUGCACAAAUACUGACGCUGAGGCGCGAAAGCGUGGGGAGCAAACA